UUGAACGCUGGCGGCAUGCCUUACACAUGCAAGUCGAGCGGUAGAGGGGCAACCCUUGAGAGUGGCGAACGGGUGAGUAAUAUAUCGGAACGUGCCCAGUCGUGGGGGAUAACGCAGCGAAAGCUGCGCUAAUACCGCAUACGAUCUAUGGAUGAAAGCGGGGGGAUCGCAAGACCUCGCGCGAUUGGAGCGGCCGAUAUCAGAUUAGGUAGUUGGUGGGGUAAAAGCCCACCAAGCCGACGAUCUGUAGCUG
rnacentral:rRNA from 1 species